AGUGAACGCUGGCGGUAGGCCUAACACAUGCCAGUCGAACGGCAGCACAGUAAGAGCUUGCUCUUACGGGUGGCGAGUGUCGGACGGGUGAGGAAUACAUCGGAAUCUACUUUUUCGUGGGGGAUAACGUAGGGAAACUUACGCUAAUACCGCAUACGACCUACGGGUGAAAGCAGGUGAUCUUCGGACCUUGCGCGAUUGAAUGAGCCGAUGUCGGAUUAGCUAGUUGGCGGGGUAAAGGCCCACCAAGGCGACGAUCCGUAGCUGGUCUGAGAGGAUGAUCAGACACACUGGAACUGAGACACGGUCCAGACUCCUACGGGAGGCAGCAGUGGGGAAUAUUGGACAAUGGGCGCAAGCCUGAUCCAGCCAUACCGCGUGGGUGAAGAAGGCCUUCGGGUUGUAAAGCCCUUUUGUUGGGAAAGAAAAGCAGCAGGUUAAUACCCCGCUGUUCUGACGGUACCCAAAGAAUAAGCACCGGCUAACUUCGUG
rnacentral:rRNA from 1 species